UCUAGUGGGGAGGAACUGUGGGGUGAACAACACACACAAAGAGAUAGACAAAGCGGGGAGAGGCAUUUAAGACUAAAACAAUGGUUUGCCUCUGCAUCUGACCCUAGAAAAAGGAAGUCAGGAGAAGAGCAAAACAGUUAAAGAGAGAGCAAAGGCAGCAAGGGCAAAUGGGGAAAGUAACCAAGAAAGGACAUCAGCACACACAUCAGAUGCUUCAUGUUUUACCAUCUGUACGUUAUCAACACAGUGGGUCACACUCACAGUUGUUUCUGUACAAUGAUACUGACAAGUUGUCGUCCGUCAGUCUGAAAGGCGCUUAGGUCAAGAGAGCAGUGGAGAAGACUUAGAUGGAAAGACUGACAUACUUCUAACCAGUGCUGAGGCCUUACCUGGCUCGGCCUCUUUAACAAACAUUGUCCAUGAUGUCUGAGUGAUUAGAAAACCACCAGAGGACCCACUAUAAAAGGUAACUGUGCAGAGGUACUGUAUCUUCCUGCUUACCAAAACUCUGUAAUGUCUCUGUAGCAUUAUUAACUGUAAUAUUCUUCAUUCUUUAUACAAAUAAAUGUACCUUCUACAUUCCUUUCAUUCCUUUUUAUUGUAUUAAUCAAUGUAUCAACUGUUAUCCUUCAGUGAGGUGAACCAAAGUCAGUGCACCUUCAAUGCAUGCAUUGCUGUCAUUAUCACCCAUUUUCUGAGACCGGAAUAAACAUUCUCUCGCAGGUGACACGACGACAGUGCAAGGGCUGAGAGAAACUGAACCGUAUCAGAACAAAAGGAACAGCAAUUUAUAUUAUAUGUAUAUGUAGAUCUCUAGUCUCAAGUUAGAAUUUAUCUUUAAUUAUGGUAAUCAUUGUGACAGAACAUUUAACAGGCAUUAUGUCAAGUCACCAACAUGAACUAUGUUUUAGCACUACACCGGCUUCAUGAGAUUCAUGUGUAGUAUUUCCCCAGUGUGACUAUGAAAAUAUGCUGGAAAAUCCACCUAAAACCAAUUUAUGAUUGUCAUAUAUUGCUAUCUUGCUGGGCAAACUGGUUUAAAAACCAGGCCAAUGCUUAUUUCUCAUUUGUUUUUAUUACAGAAUGUUGUGUUCCUGUUUAUGUAAAUUUAAACUCAGCACAAAAUUGUGACUUGCAUGAAGCGCUGAGUUGUUCAAGUUCAAGUUAUGUUGGGACUUUGAAAUAGGUUCCAUUGGAAAAGUCACAAUCCAAAACAAGACAAAAUAGCCUAAAUGUGAAUGGAGUUCACAUCCAGGCACUUUGAUCAAUCUUUUCUGCUGUUUGGUUAUUUGAAAGGAGAGCUUGGACUGUUACAUUUCAUGCUGAGUGAUUUUACAAGAACAUAAGAUACUGCAAGGCCUGUUUAUUUAUGGAACUAUUGCACUUGAGCAGCCAUGUAUCCAUCCACUGUACAGUGAGUUUAAGCUCCUCCUAAAAGCUUUGGUUUCUGUAGAAACAGGAAAAGGAAGCCCUAUUAGUUCAAGCCGUGAGUUUUUAUUAAGGCUGCUGUAUAUUUGUAAUGUAAAUUACCCUUGCAUUUGUCUUUUUUGCAAAAACUAAAUCUCACUUUUAAGAUUUGUGUUACUAAAGUGAGAAAGAAAACUUUGACCUUACAUAUAUUGUCUUUAUGAAUGAUUUUUUUUCCAGAUCUUUCAGGAUUUCUUAUCUGGCUGUGUCUCAAUUACAACUAUAUUUGUAUCUUGUUCUCCUUUAAUACACCCACUGAUACAAGAAACACACUUUAAGAGACACGCACAAACACAUUCAAAACGUUAUAGCAAUUUUUUCUUCUUCUUUGUUUUCCCCCCUUUUUGCACUAGCUGUGCUAUUGGAGGUCCUUUUUGUAUUCCACUUCAGGCCCUUUCUCCUACUGCCAUCCAGUGGUGACUUGUUGCAAUCAAACAUGAGGAGCAGCAUGCCAUCGCUCUGGUUCUUGGAUAUAAACAUGAUCUAUCCAUAUUUAGCAUGGUUGUUUGUGAUAUAUUAUGUUUACCAGUCUUUGUUUUAGUUCUUAUAAUUGGGA